UACGUAGGCAGCAAGCGUUGUUCGGAAUUACUGGGCGUAAAGAGUGUGUAGGCGGUGCUCUAAGUUCGGUGUGAAAUCUCCCGGCUUAACUGGGAGGGUGCGCCGGAAACUGGAGUGCUCGAGCGUGGGAGAGGAAAGCGGAAUUCCUGGUGUAGCGGUGAAAUGCGUAGAUAUCAGGAGGAACACCUGCGGUGUAGACGGCUUUCUGGACCAUUGCUGUCGCUGAGACACGAAAGCGUGGGUAGCAAACAGG
rnacentral:rRNA from 1 species